ACCAGACUCCUACGGGAGGCAGCAGUGAGGAAUAUUGGUCAAUGGCCGAGAGGCUGAACCAGCCAAGUCGCGUGAGGGAAGACGGCCCUACGGGUUGUAAACCUCUUUUGUCGGGGAGCAAAGCGAGUCACGUGUGACUCAUUGAGAGUACCCGAAGAAAAAGCAUCGGCUAACUCCGUGCCAGCAGCCGCGGUAAUACGGAGGAUGCGAGCGCUAUCCGGAUUUAUUGGGUUUAAAGGGUGCGCAGGCGGAGGUGCAAGUCAGCGGUCAAAUUGCGGGGCUCAACCCCGUCGUGCCGUUGAAACUGACGCCCUUGAGUGAGUGAGAAGUAAGCGGAAUGCGUGGUGUAGCGGUGAAAUGCAUAGAUAUCACGCAGAACUCCGAUUGCGAAGGCAGCAUACCGGCGCCCAACUGACGCUGAAGCACGAAAGCGUGGUAUCGAACAGGAUUAGAUACCCGAGUAU
rnacentral:rRNA from 1 species